rnacentral:rRNA from 1 species
ACAUGCAAGUCGAACGGUGCAGCAAUGCAUAGUGGCAGACGGGUGCGUAACGCGUAUGCAACCUACCUUUUAUCGGGGGACAACAUUUCGAAAGAAGUGCUAAUACCGCGUAAGAUAGUAGUGGGACAUCCCACAGCUAUUAAACUUUCGGGGAUAGAAGAUGGGCAUGCGUCUGAUUAGCUAGUUGGCGGGGUAACGGCCCACCAAGGCGACGAUCAGUAGGGGAACUGAGAGGUUGAUCCCCCACACUGGCACUGAGAUACGGGCCAGACUCCUACGGGAGGCAGCAGUAGGGAAUAUUGGGCAAUGGACGGAAGUCUGACCCAGCCACGCCGCGUGCAGGAGGAAGGCGCUCUGCGUUGUAAACUGCUUUAGCAGGGGAAGAAAAGACUCAUGCGUGCAGGAAUUGACGGUACCCUGAGAAUAAGCACCGGCUAACUACGUGCCAGCAGCCGCGGUAAUACGUAGGGUGCAAGCGUUGUCCGGAUUUAUUGGGUUUAAAGGGUGCGUAGGCGGUCUAUUAAGUCAGUGUUUAAAUUUUGCAGCUUAACUGUAGGUAUGGCAUUGAUACUGGAGGACUUGAAUAUCAUGGAGGUAGCUAGAAUUUAUGGUGUAGCGGUGAAAUGCAUAGAUACCAUAAGGAACACCGAUAGCGGAGGCAGGUUGCCACGUGAUGAUUGACGCUGAGGCACGAAAGCGUGGGGAUCAAACAGGAUUAGAUACCCUGGUAGUCCACGCUGUAAACGAUGAUUACUAGAUGCUGGCCGGAUGCGGUCAGUGUUCAAGCGAAAGCGAUAAGUAAUCCACCUGGGGAGUACGUUCGCAAGAAUGAAACUCAAAGGAAUUGACGGGGGUCCGCACAAGCGUGAGCAUGUGGUUUAUUCGAUGAUACGCGAGACCUUACCUGGCUAGAAUGUGAGGUAGGU